rnacentral:rRNA from 1 species
UGGGGAAUAUUGCACAAUGGGCGCAAGCCUGAUGCAGCCAUGCCGCGUGUGUGAAGAAGGCCUUCGGGUUGUAAAGCACUUUCAGCGGGGAGGAAGGCGGUGAGGUUAAUCACCUCACCGAUUGACGUUACCCGCAGAAGAAGCACCGGCUAACUCCGUGCCAGCAGCCGCGGUAAUACGGAGGGUGCAAGCGUUAAUCGGAAUUACUGGGCGUAAAGCGCACGCAGGCGGUCUGUCAAGUCGGAUGUGAAAUCCCCGGGCUCAACCUGGGAACUGCAUUCGAAACUGGGAGGCUAGAGUCUUGUAGAGGGGGGUAGAAUUCCAGGUGUAGCGGUGAAAUGCGUAGAGAGCUGGAGGAAUACCGGUGGCGAAGGCGGCCCCCUGGACAAAGACUGACGCUCAGGUGCGAAAGCGUGGGGAGCAAACAGG